AUACGUAGGGGGCUAGCGUUAUCCGGAAUUACUGGGCGUAAAGGGUGCGUAGGUGGUUUCUUAAGUCAGAAGUGAAAGGCUACGGCUCAACCGUAGUAAGCUUUUGAAACUAAGAGACUUGAGUGCAGGAGAGGAGAGUAGAAUUCCUAGUGUAGCGGUGAAAUGCGUAGAUAUUAGGAAGAAUACCAGUUGCGAAGGCGGCUCUCUGGACUGUAACUGACCCUGAGGCACGAAAGCGUGGGGAGCAAACAGGAUUAGAUACCCUGGUAGUCCACGCCGUAAACGAUGAGUACUAGCUGUCGGGGGUUACCCCCCUCGGUGGCGCAGCUAACGCAUUAAGUACUCCGCCUGGGAAGUACGCUCGCAAGAGUGAAACUUAAAGGAAUUGACGGGG
rnacentral:rRNA from 1 species